rnacentral:rRNA from 1 species
AUUGAACGCUGGCGGCAUGCCUUACACAUGCAAGUCGAACGGCAGCAUGAUCUAGCUUGCUAGAUUGAUGGCGAGUGGCGAACGGGUGAGUAAUACAUCGGAACGUGCCCUGUAGUGGGGGAUAACUAGUCGAAAGAUUAGCUAAUACCGCAUACGACCUGAGGGUGAAAGUGGGGGACCGCAAGGCCUCAUGCUAUAGGAGCGGCAGAUGUCUGGUUAGCUAGUUGGUGAGGUAAAGGCUCACCAAGGCGACGAUCAGUAGCUGGUCUGAGAGGACGAUCAGCCACACUGGGACUGAGACACGGCCCAGACUCCUACGGGAGGCAGCAGUGGGGAAUUUUGGACAAUGGGGGCAACCCUGAUCCAGCAAUGCCGCGUGUGUGAAGAAGGCCUUCGGGUUGUAAAGCACUUUUGUCCGGAAAGAAAUCGCACUUACUAAUAUUAGGUGUGGAUGACGGUACCGGAAGAAUAAGGACCGGCUAACUACGUGCCAGCAGCCGCCGUAACAC